GAAAUUAGGCUUUGCCGCUACGGGUUGUCACUUCUCGUACCUCGUUUGGCACUCCAGCGUUCGUGCAGCUUCGAAGGAUCGUUCGUGGAUCUCGUGUGCCUCGUGAUCACUUACCAGUGCAAGGGCGGCGGAAACGAAUGGAACACGUACACGAAUAUGUUUUGGUCGAGGAGAAGGGCGCAGGUGUGGCGCCGCCGGUUGUGUGCUUCUUCUGGUCGGGCUUUUGCGGGGGGUUUGGUACCGCUGGAAUGGUACAGCGCGCGGGGAGGAGGAGGACGACGAGCACGAUGGAACGACGGAGGACGUGGCACGCCGGCGGCUGCUAUCCGUCGACGAGUAGGCCUAGUUCGCGCACACCGCGCUGGGCGGGCACGAGCGCCGUACCUUGCCGAGCCCGCUGGUGACGUGGACCGGGAUGCAGUGGACGCUACGGAGGCCCGCGCAGUGCUCGGAGAGGGAGCCGUUGUGGCCGCAGCGGCCUGGCAAGGGCUUGCGGUAGCCGCCGGAGAGGCCGGAGUGAUCGGAGCUAAACAGGCCAUUGAUGGAGCUGCCGCUCGAGGGGCGGCUGUAGCCGGCGCGCGAGCCCCUCUUGGAGUGGAGAGACUACGAGUUGCCGUUGAUGAAGUUGCCAUGGUAGGGAAGGAGAAACAGGGCCAAUUUCUUGGACGUCAGCGAGCUCGACCUGUUGUUGAAGGAGCGGCCGUGGUAGGGCCGUCUCGAGCCGCUGGAGUGCCCGGAAGUCUGCGACUGCGAGCGGUUGUUGAGCAAGUCGCAACCGCUCGACGGCCGCAGCAAGUUCUUGGACUGGGUCGACUUUUGGAAAACCCACCGCUAGACGUUGGAGUGGCCGCCGAAAGGGUCGAUACACCGCCUCUACGCCCUGAACCUCCACGAGCUGGAGAGCCAAUUGCGGAACUGGCCUUCAUAUGGAGGCCGCUAAACCUCGGAGUGGUUCAACUUUUGACACCGAGACAUACGUUUGUUGAAGUGGCCGCUCCAGCAACAGCGGCUGCCACGAAAGCCGCGCCACUUAAACCACUGCUAGCUAGACUGGAGCUUAGUGUCCGAUUCACCCGGCUAAGGCCUUCGCAAGCCCGUGAACGGCUUGGAACUUUGUGACUUGAACAUGAAGUUGUUGAAGAGGCCACUCUAUGGGCGCUCGUAGCCGGCCAACGGAAGUAACCACUGGAACUCGAACAAGUCGUUAGCAGAGUGGCCGUCCGAGGGAGGCCUGGAGCCGUUCUUGAGCAGCCGUCCCAACUACAUAUAACUACAAGUCCUGUUGCUGUAGUGGCCGCGCUAAGGCCUCCCCGAAACGCGGUUGCCGUUCAAGGUCAGCGAGUAGCGGUCCUUGUUGGCGAACUUGCCCAGGUAGGGCCGUCCGGAGCGGCCAACGCGGUGCGAGUUGUUGGAAUACGAGCUGUUAUUGGUCGAGAGGCCGCUCCAGGGACUUCGCGACACCUUCUGCCGUUUUGAACUUGUCCACAACGACGCCUUAUUGGCCGAGUCGCCGUCAGACGGCCAGUUCUACAAGUCGUUGGAGAGGUCAAAUGUGUAUCUCUUGUUAGUCAAACCACCGUUGUAGGGUCUCCACCGGCAACCCGAGGUCUUCAAGUGGCGGCCCUUGUUGUUAAAAAGUCCCCUCUACGGUCGUUCAGAACCAUUGCCGUACGGCGACGACGUCCGUUACCUGAACAGGCCAUUGUUCGAGAGACCGCCCUAGGGCUUCUCGUAUCGGUUCGAGCCGAGUGACUGCGUCGACCUGGACUCGUCCUUAGUUGAGCGGCCGCUCUAUGGCCGACUUAACCCGCGGUACGCCCACGAGUUGCAUGAACUGGACAGCAGCUUGUUCGAUAGGCCGCUGUAUGGCGGCGGCGAACGGCCCAAUGGCGAUUCGAGCGAGUUGGACAGUAGGUUGGUCGAGCUGCCGGUCCAUGGCCGUCCCGAGCGGUGGCGGCGAAUGCUAGCCUCGAAGGAGCCGUUGGGGCCGGAGACGGUACGACCAGACCCCGGGCCGAUAGAGUGGCCGCACGCGAGGACGCGACGCCCUAGUGUUCGACGGAGGAGGAGGCCACCGCAGAGCGGCCGCGAGGCGUGACCGGAGGACCGGCGACGGCCGCGCGAGGAACAGGAGUAGCACCAGAAGCGGAAGAAGUAGCAGGCGCUGUAGUCCUUUUCCUUCGCGCGCCGUGCCCUGCCACCGACCUUCUAGUGCGGAAAGGUCUGGCUAAACCCGAAGCCCCUCCGUCGGUAUGAGGCCCGCGACUGGCUCCUCUUAGAGCAGCCGUCGCCGCCCAGCCCCGCGCACAUGGCGCGGCGCAUGUGAUUGGCCAUGUUGCCGUCGCGGCCGCGGCACCGGCACUUCGUUUAUGCCUCGCGGCCCUUCCACCUGCUCUUCGACCUCGCGCUCAAGCUCAGCCUCCGGCCGUAGGAGCCGCCGCAGGCCGUGUUCUUGUAGCAGUCCCACAACACGACGGAGAGGGCGCUGCUGAGACGGCCGUUCGAGGAGCACAUGCUGAUGUACCUGUUGCCGUCGGAGCUGCCCACCGAGGUGCCGGUGCGAGAGUGGCUGCCGCGGUCCGUGAGGCACAGCAGGCACCGCUCCCGGGCCAGUCCGGCCGCGUUCCGACCAAACCUGACCGGGCGCUCCUAGUCUCAGCGGCACCCGCGGCGCGUCCCCGAGACGAUGUACGUGGUGCUCACGAGGGGCGGGUAGCAAGUGGCCCUGCAGUUCUGGUCGUUGUAGAACGACCUGAGGCUCAAGGCCCGGUUCCAGCGCCUGAAGCCCGACCGGUCCUACGACCACGUCCGGCCGUGCGGGCUGUGGUACAGGCGGCAACGGCCCAGCAAGCCGAUGUACCGAGGACUCACGCCGAUGUGCUCCUUCCACUGCCUCUUCCAACUGCACAUGUCGAAGCCGCACCACGAGGACCUCGAGUGGUGGCCCGCCCGCCGGUUGCUGCCGCCGCUCCUGCCCAGCGACCGCCUUACCCGCGCCGUGGACAUGGUUAGUCCUCCUUCGUAGUGGCUGCGGUGCCUAUUAGCGUAGUCUAUGCGCCCCACGAGCCUCCUCUAGCUCCAGCACAAGUCCGAGCCGCACUACACGUGCUCGCGCAGCGGCAGCAGCGCCGGCUGGUACUUCCUGCACGACGUCUAGGACGAGUCCACGACGCUCGUCUGCGUGGUCUUCCCGUUCCGUCUCGGACCGGCACUCAUGCUCCGCCGAGGCGAGAACGACGGCGUCGCGCCGUCGGCGGCCUUCGUCGAAAGCUUGAGGCUGUCGCUCCUCUUCUCGCUGAAGCUGCCGUAACAGACUUAAUACCUCGGUUGGUGACGUAGAACUAACGUGACCGUAUGACAUGGUCAAUCCUGUUGUCGACCUUCGUCCCUUUAAUACUUCGCCAUAUCUGGCACAUUCAAACGUAUGGCAUCCUCUCCUAAUGAUCAGAUUUGAAUGUAGGGGACGAUCGACGAGUACCACCUCCAUGGUAAAAGUCAAAUCUUUUUGAUUCUGCUGCUGCCUGCUCCGCCGGCGGAGAGGCUCGUCGAGACGUUCGCAGCGAAGGUGUACCCUCCACUUGAAUCACGAGCAUCUCUGGCGGUAGCUAUCGUUGCUGUCAGCAAACGAAGCCUGACGGCAGUCAGCCGCGAGACAGGGACGGGUCGGUUCGCGCGCGGAGAGAGGCGCUGGAACAGCGUCUGCACCGCCCAAUACAUAGAACGAAGGUCCCUUCAUAGCCGUUAGAUCUACAUUCAACUUCGUGUUGUGCUUCUCAGUAAACAACGACUUCCAACCUAAACUAUUAUAGGAGAAAACUUGUAACACAUAGUGAUGUUAUAGAUUCGAGGGAGCUUAAAUUCGCGAUAUUCGCGAGACCCCGGCUCUCCUAGUUUCUGAGUUCACUGGUGCAGAGAAUAAAAAAAUCCUCUUGGUGUAUCAAAAUAAAUCCUCGUGGUGCCAGAGAAUGAGAGAAUGAUCCACUCAUCCAUAACAAAAAGACUUGUGUCAUGUCGGUUUCAGCGAAUGUAUGUGCUCGUAUGUGAAU
rnacentral:rRNA from 1 species